rnacentral:lncRNA from 1 species
AAAGGGGGGGGUCUUUUAUCCCGGUUGGUGUUUCAAACCAGGAUAAAAGGCCUCUCAGAGUCUUUUUUUCCCAUUAGCCUUUGCAACCGGGAUAAAAGGUUCCGGUUGGUGAGCCCCCCACCAGUGACCGAGUUUUAGUCCCGGUUGGUGAACCUUUUGUCCCGGGCUAACUUUAAACCGGGAUAAAAGGGGCGUAUGGAAAGUCAGUUCUCUACUAGUGCCCCGUGCGAUUUAUUCUCACAUGUUUCAUUUGCAUCUUCAUUUUAGGAAUCUGGACCAUCACAUUUUUAUUACAACUUUUUGUCGGAAUCUUCAUAUACACUAUUCUCAAACUCUCCUAUAAUAUGCCGCUCGCAGUUUACUACGGCACGUCUCAUCGCAACAAUUAGGUUCCGUGAUGUUGGAUGACUAGGUCUCCUGGUGGAGUAUUAUAACUCUUUACUAGUGCUGAAAUGUGGCCAAGUCAUCCCGUAUGAUUCGUUCUCAUCUUCGAUUCAGGAAUCAAAGACCCC